rnacentral:rRNA from 1 species
GCUGCAGAAUUUCUGUACUAAGGUAGCAUAAUCAAUUGCCUUCUAAAUCAAGGAUAGAAUGAAAGGUAAAACGAAUUUUAAACUUUUUUAAAAAUGUAACCCAAACUUAAAAUACUGGUAAAAAUUCCACUAAAUAUAAGAAAGACGACAAGACCCUGUUGAACUUUACAUAUGUUUAGCUGGGGAAGCACAUUAACAAAAUCUUACAGAAAUUAUAAAAAAGAACCUUUUUGAUAAUUGAACAAGUUACCACAGGGAUAACAGCAUAAUUUAAUUUUAAAGCUCAUAUUUAAAAUAAAGCUUAUGACCUCGAUGUUGAAUUAAUUUCCUUACAACCGCAAAAUUUUAUAAAGGAAGACUGUUCGUCUUUUUAACAAUUACAUGAUUUGAGUUCAGACCGGUAUAUAAGCCAGGUCGGUUUCUAUCUUCUCAUCCAAAAAUUUCAGUACGAAAGGACCAAAUUUUGUUUUAUAUUAUUAUGACAGAAUAUUGUAUUAGAAUUAGAAUCUAAAAACCCACAUUAUACUAACUAUUAACUCUUUAUUAAUUAUUUUAUCAAUUUUUAUUAGAGUAGCCUUUUACACAAUAAUAGAACGAAAAAUCCUAAGAUAUAUCCAAAUACGAAAAGGACCCAAUAAAGUAGGAAUACUAGGACUAUUACAACCAUUUAGUGAUGCUAUUAAAUUAUUUAAUAAAUCUUUUUCUUUCCCUAUUACAUCAAACUAUACUCUUUCUAUAAUUUCACCCCCCCUAACAAUUUUUUUAGCCAUAUUAAUUUGACCUAUAUUACCCUUUGCAAAAAACAAUACAUUUGAUAUAAUUUUUAACUCUUUAAUUUUUAUAGUAAUUUCCAGUAUCACAGUAUAUUUUAUUAUAAUAAUCGGUUGAGCAGCAA